AUUGAACGCUGGCGGAAUGCUUUACACAUGCAAGUCGAGCGGCAGCGCGGGGCAACCUGGCGGCGAGCGGCGAACGGGUGAGUAAUACAUCGGAACGUGCCCAGACGUGGGGGAUAACUACUCGAAAGAGUGGCUAAUACCGCAUACGAUCUACGGAUGAAAGCGGGGAUCGCAAGACCUCGCGCGUCUGGAGCGGCUGAUGGCAGAUUAGGUAGUUGGUAGGAUAAAAGCCUACAAGCCAACGAUCUGUAGCUGGUCUGAGAGGAUGAUCAGCCAC
rnacentral:rRNA from 1 species